UACGUAGGUGGCAAGCGUUGUCCGGAUUUAUUGGGUUUAAAGGGUGCGUAGGCGGCCUAUUAAGUCAGUGGUGAAAUAUUUCAGCUCAACUGGAAUUGUGCCAUUGAUACUGAUGGGCUUGAGUACAGAUGAGGUAGGCGGAAUUGACGGUGUAGCGGUGAAAUGCUUAGAUAUCGUCAAGAACACCUAUAGCGAAGGCAGCUUACUAGGCUGUAACUGACUCUGAGGCACGAAAGUGUGUGGAUCAAACAGG
rnacentral:rRNA from 1 species